rnacentral:rRNA from 1 species
UCAGGAUGAACGCUGGCGGUAUGCGUAACACAUGCAAGUCGAACGAAGUUUUUCGGAACUUAGUGGCGGACGGGUGAGUAACGCGUGAGAAUCUGCCUUAAGGAUUGGGACAACAGUGGGAAACCGCUGCUAAUACCAAAUAUGCCUUUUAGUGAAACGGGUAAAACCGCCUUAAGAUGAGCUCGCGUCUGAUUAGCUAGUAGGUGUGGUAAGAGCGCACCUAGGCGACGAUCAGUAGCUGGUCUGAGAGGACGACCAGCCACACUGGGACUGAGGCACGGCCCAGACUCCUACGGGAGGCAGCAGUGAGGAAUUUUCCGCAAUGGGCGAAAGCCUGACGGAGCAAUACCGCGUGAGGGAGGAAGGUUCUUGGAUUGUAAACCUCUUUUCUCAGAGAAGAAUAAUGACGGUAUCUGAGGAAUAAGCAUCGGCUAACUCCGUGCCAGCAGCCGCGGUAAUACGGAGGAUGCAAGCGUUAUCCGGAAUGAUUGGGCGUAAAGGGUCUGUAGGUGGUUGUUCAAGUCUGCUGUUAAAGCGUCUGGCUUAACCAGAUAAAGGCGGUGGAAACUGAACGACUAGAGUGCGGUAGAGGUAGAGGGAAUU